UAGAAAAUCUCAGUUAUUAAAGAUUUACAAAUUGUAUUAUCUCCUCAUCCAAUCCCCAGUUCCAGUGAAGCGCUUACUUUGCAUGAUGAGAAAAUCUCAGUUAUUGAAGAUUCACAAAUUGUAUUAUCUCCUCAUCCAAUCCCCAGUUCCAGUGAGGCGCUUACUUUGCAUGAUGAGAAAAUCUCAGUUAUUGAAGAUUCACAAAUUGUAUUAUCUCCUCAUCCAAUCCCCAGUUCUAGUCAGGCGCUUACUUUGCAUGAGG